rnacentral:rRNA from 1 species
GGUAAUACGAAAGGUGCAAGCGUUGUUCGGAAUUACUGGGCGUAAAGCGCACGUAGGCGGGUCCGUGUGUCGAUUGUGAAAGCCCUGGGCUCAACCCCGAGACGCCAUCCGAUACUGCUGUGGCUUGAGUCUGGUAGGGGAACACGGAAUUCCUGGUGUAGCGGUGAAAUGCGCAGAUAUCAGGAGGAACACCGAUGGCGAAGGCAGUGUUCUGGGCCAGUACUGACGCUGAGGAGCGAAAGCGUGGGUAGCAAACA